UACGUAGGGUGCAAGCGUUGUCCGGAAUUAUUGGGCGUAAAGAGCUCGUAGGCGGUUCGUCGCGUCGGCUGUGAAAACCUGAGGCUCAACCUCAGGCCUGCAGUCGAUACGGGCGGACUUGAGUACUGCAGGGGAGACUGGAAUUCCUGGUGUAGCGGUGAAAUGCGCAGAUAUCAGGAGGAACACCGGUGGCGAAGGCGGCCCGCUGGGCAGUGGCUGACGCUGAGGCGCGACAGCGUGGGGGAGCAAACAGG
rnacentral:rRNA from 1 species